CAUAUAAAAAAAGACAACUCUGUUCUGCAGAGUAGUUGUUGACAUUAUAGUUGUGCAGGAACUUUGAUGACUCUAGAGAACCUUGAGCAAAUCGCACAUCCCCGUGGCAGCGACUUUGCAUGCGAAUGUCAUCCAUAUCAACUUUCGAUGCCAGUUUCUGCACCUACCAUGGUGACCACAGGUAACGGGGAACCAGGGUUCCAUUCCGUACAGGGACCCUGAGAAACUGCUACCACAUGCAAGGAAGGCAG